UUUCUUGGCAAAGUUGAAUGAGAGCUUUGCUACGUAGAACAACUGCUUUGCCAGUAAUGGAUCUUCAAAAUCAAUUUGUUAACUUGUGUUACGAGGCGAUUUAGAAGGAUGUCAAGAAAAAGCUAAAGACUAUAUUACAAGGCGACCGUGCAUGUUAAAAAAUUUAAAAAUUGUAAACCGGGCGUUGCUGAUUUUCCUUGUCAUGUUAGGUCCACGAAAAACUUGCUGAAGAAAUUAUAGAGUUCAGUGUUUAGUUUUCCAAAUAGCAAAUUCCAUGACAAUAAUUCGGUCCUCUUUAUUUAUUUG